rnacentral:rRNA from 1 species
GGGGAAUUUUGGACAAUGGGGGCAACCCUGAUCCAGCCAUUUCGCGUGUGUGAUGAAGGCCUUCGGGUUGUAAAGCACUUUUGGCAGGAAAGAAAUCGCGCGGGCUAAUAUCCUGCGUGGAUGACGGUACCUGCAGAAUAAGCACUGGCUAACUACGUGCCAGCAGCCGCGGUAAUACGUAGGGUGCAAGCGUUAAUCGGAAUUACUGGGCGUAAAGGGUGCGCAGGCGGUUCGGAAAGAAGGAUGUGAAAUCCCAGGGCUCAACCUUGGAAUGGCAUUCUUAACUACCGGGCUAGAGUGUGGCAGAGGGGGGUGGAAUUCCGCGUGUAGCAGUGAAAUGCGUAGAGAUGCGGAGGAACACCGAUGGCGAAGGCAGCCCCCUGGGAUAACACUGACGCUCAGGCACGAAAGCGUGGGUAGCAAAC